ACACAUGCAAVUCGAGCGGAAACGAAGAGGUGCUUGCACCUCUGGCGUCGAGCGGCGGACGGGUGAGUAAUGCUUGGGAAUAUGCCUUAUGGUGGGGGACAACAGUUGGAAACGACUGCUAAUACCGCAUGAUGUCUACGGACCAAAGUGGGGGACCUUCGGGCCUCACGCCAUAAGAUUAGCCCAAGUGGGAUUAGCUAGUUGGUGAGGUAAUGGCUCACCAAGGCGACGAUCCCUAGCUGGUUUGAGAGGAUGAUCAGCCACACUGGGACUGAGACACGGCCCAGACUCCUACGGGAGGCAGCAGUGGGGAAUAUUGCACAAUGGGCGCAAGCCUGAUGCAGCCAUGCCGCGUGUGUGAAGAAGGCCUUCGGGUUGUAAAGCACUUUCAGUAAGGAGGAAAGGUUAAGUGUUAAUAGCCUUACUGUGACGUUCUUACAGAAGAACACCGCUAACUCCUGCCACACCGCGUAUACGAGGGUGCAGCGUUACGGAUUCUGGCCUAAAGCGUAC
rnacentral:rRNA from 1 species